ACCAGACUCCUACGGGAGGCAGCAGUGGGGGAUAUUGCACAAUGGGGGGAACCCUGAUGCAGCGACGCCGCGUGGGUGAAGAAGCGCCUCGGCGCGUAAAGCCCUGUCAGCAGGGAAGAAAAUGACGGUACCUGAAGAAGAAGCCCCGGCUAACUACGUGCCAGCAGCCGCGGUAAUACGUAGGGGGCAAGCGUUAUCCGGAUUUACUGGGUGUAAAGGGGGCGCAGACGGCGAUGCAAGCCAGGAGUGAAAGCCCGGGGCCCAACCCCGGGACUGCUCUUGGAACUGCGUGGCUGGAGUGCAGGAGGGGCAGGCGGAAUUCCUGGUGUAGCGGUGAAAUGCGUAGAUAUCAGGAGGAACACCGGUGGCGAAGGCGGCCUGCUGGACGGCGACUGACGUUGAGGCCCGAAAGCGUGGGGAGCAAACAGGAUUAGAUACCCCGGUAUAA
rnacentral:rRNA from 1 species